AUAUCAAUAAGCGGAGGAAAAGAAACCAACAGGGAUUGCCUUAGUAACGGCGAGUGAAGCGGCAACAGCUCAAAUUUGAAAUCUGGCCUCUUUGGGGUCCGAGUUGUAAUUCGUAGAGGAUGUUUCGGGCACCGCUCCGGUUUAAAUUUCUUGGAACAGAAUGUCAAAGAGGGUGAGAACCCCGUCUUGGACCGGCAGUAGGGCCCAUGUGAAACUCCUUCGACGAGUCGAGUUGUUUGGGAAUGCAGCUCAAAAUGGGUGGUGAGUUCCAUCUAAAGCUAAAUAUUGGCGAGAGACCGAUAGCGCACAAGUA
rnacentral:rRNA from 1 species